rnacentral:lncRNA from 1 species
CUUUUUAGGGCUGCACCUGCAGCAUAUGGAGGGUCCCAGGCUAGGGAUCCAAUCAGAGCUGUAGCCGCCGGUCUACGCCAGAGCCACAGCAACAUGGGAUCUGAGCUACGUUUUUGACCUACACCACAGUUCACGGCAACUCCAGAUCCUGAACCCAAUGAGAGAGGCCAGGGAUCAAACCCGCAUCCUCCAUCUCGAGGGGGCAGGGCCCUGCCUGGUCCCCAAGCUUAGCAGGGUUGGGCCACAGGUCAGUCACCAGCAGGUGUCUGCUAGUCAGACCCUGAAUGGAUGAAGGGUGGGUAAACUGCACGUCUGAAUGUCUGCGGUCAUGGAGAAGGAGGCAGCGUCUUAAGAGCAAAACAGCAGAAACUCAGAGACCACGAGAGGUCUGCGGAACACCUAACUGAUGGUGACACACGCCACUCGGCCAAACCACCUGACCCGGGUCCGGCCAACAGUCUGCGGCUGGAGCUCCCUGUUCAAGCCCUGGCGGGGGGGGGGGGGGGGGCCCUGCACAGCGGCUGGAAACCUCCUCAGGCUUCCAGGCCAGUAGAGACCACGCGUGGAUCCUCGGAACGCUGACCACGGCAUGAACACAACCUGAGGGGGGAUGGUUCCCCUUCCGAAGCCGGAGUGGGGUAGAGAGAGGAAGACCGACGGCAGCGCACCGGCCACGAGGGUAGAGGAGGGGAGGCGGGCCGAGCUGAGACCCGUUUCUCUCGUGUCUCACGCUUCCCUGGGAGGUGCUGAGCGCAGCCGCUGCCCCCCACCCCCGGAAGAGAGGGCGGAUUUCGAGAAAGAAUGAACCACUUUCACAACAGGAGACGUCUCCUGAACACCCUCCACAUCUCCCACCUGGGAGCAGAACUGUUUUCAAGCAAGGGUCCCUUUGACCCUCUGCAUUACUGCCUAGAGAGGAACUGCAGGUGCGGAGGCAGUGAUGAAGCACUGCCUGUCACUAGGGGGUGGGGGGACACUCCUGGACGGUCCUUCCAGGAGGCGGUGGCAGGCUCUUCCUCUCUACUACAGGGUGGAAUGGCUCCAGUGGCGCUCUUCAUCAGCCCCACAGCCCCCUCUGCUCCCCCCAUGGAGACACAAUCCUCUUCAUCGACAGCGUUCCCGGCACAGGAGGGUGCAUGUGUGUUAAGACAGCCCCUCCCACAACAAAGGCAAGGAUGUUGAUCACAGUGGACUAGCCUCUGUCCAGGAUGUUUUGUCUUCAUGAUUUAAAAGCUCUUUCCAUGGAUUCCCUGGUGGCUCAAUGGGUUAAGGACCCAGUGUUGUCACUGCUGCAUCUCUGAUCGCUGCUAUGGUCCAGUUCCCUGGCCUGGGAACUCCUGCAUGCUGUGGGCACAGCCUAAAUCAAUCAAUCAAUCAAACAAUCCAUCAACCAAGCUCUUUCCUAAUCAGAGGCCAUCAUCAGCUCCACCAAAGCCUCAGGGGCCCUUGGGCUCACAAGAGUGAUUCACGGGGCCAUAUUUAUUACCCAUUCACAAACCCUUUAGGGGACACUUUUGUGGCCUCUCAGUCUUAUGAUGCUCUCCCCUCUAAAAGAAUCUCACCUCUAUUGAGCUGGACAUCUAUAAUAAGAACCAACCCUACUAUAGAUAUAUUUAAGGGAGAUUAUUUCAUCCUCUCUCUAAAUAACACACAUCAUAUGAAAGAUCUUUAUUACAGCAUCUAUCUCACUCUUAACCUAUUUUUCCAUCAAUGGACCAAUGUGCCAAGCACUAUUCUAAAUGCUCUGCACAUUUUAACAUUUAAUUCUCAACAGCCAUGAUUUGGGUACUACUAUCACCUAUAUUUUCAGACUAAGACUCUCUGAGGCUCAGAGAAGUUAAGCAACUUGCCUCAGGCCACACAGCUAGGAAGUGUCAGAGAUGGUGUCCAUAUCCAGGCAUUCUGGUUUCACAGCCAAUAAACAGUCACCCACUGCAUCCCCCUGAAUUUCUGAAAACAGAUCUUGUACGCCAUGUGGUUUCACUGGGCAUAGAGACCACCCGGGCACCAUCCACUGAGCAACGUCUUCCUAUACUGCUGUGGUUUAGUGUCAUGUCUUUAGAAAAAGCGAGCAAGAGUGUGGCUGAAGGGGGCGGCAGUCCAUUCCAACAGGGACGCCAUUCCCAUCAGCGGGAAGGAUGCUCACUUGUCCCAGUGCUUCGUCCUGAAGGAUGUGAAGGGCACCUCUGAUUAGACUUCACAGGGUCUUUGCCUUGGAUUCCGGUCAUGGAGCCCAACACCCAUGCAAGGCUGACGUUCUCGCAGGCUCACCAGCUUCUGCAGGCGAAGCCAUGAUGGCGCCUGCUGUGAUGUAACAAACACAGCGGGGAAGACAAUUCCCCGAGAGCGCCUGGAACACCAUGGGCGGCCAGUGAAUGGAGUUGAAUGAAUGAACGAGUGAAAAAAGGAGAAGGCGGCACCACCAAACUGGGGGGUGGGGGUGGCUGGGGGUCCUUGCCUUCCAAGGACUGAAUGGACCCACACCUGCUCUCUGUGGGUGCCCGGGGGCUCCUGACAACUGGGGGAUCUGGGCUCAGGGGUUAGAGUUUGGUUACGACCCAGAGUUUAUGUCGACGGGGUCAGAGGAGCUCCCAAGUAGAAUUUGCCUUCAAACCGCACACUCCGCCUCCCCCCACAAAAAAAGAUGCUUCAGUUUUCACAAAGCAGUUAUAACUAUAGGGUCGAAUUCCCAAUAGCCAGACAGUGGAAGCAACCCAAACGUCUGUCCACAGAUGAAUAAACAGAAUGUGGUGCAUGAGCCCAGCGGGAUAAUAUGCAGGCUUACGAAGGAUGAAUCUUACACGGGAUGGGAAAGGAUGCUGAGAGGUUACCUCAUCUAUCUCUGCCUUCAGGCAAGCUCAGCAAAGCCCUACAAGAAAGAUGAGCCUUGUUCUGCUUGCUAAGGAAGGAGAGGGCAUCGGAGGUGAAUUCUUAACACUCCUUGUCAGGCAAUCCUCCUCACAAUCCAUCUUCAAGCCUGUGAGCUGGUCAUGAUUGUUACAGCAGCAUUUUAGCUGCUGGGUUUUAUUAUUAUGGGAUUAACUGAGAUUGCUGUGUGUGCCCCCAGAGGCUUUUUAAAACAACUGUUUUAAAAAUUGAAAGCACCGUCAGGGAGUGGAGCUAAUAAAACGUGCUUGGUGGGAGCAUCCUAUUUAGCAAAAUUUCCUA